UACGUAGGGGGCGAGCGUUGUCCGGAUUUAUUGGGCGUAAAGAGCUCGUAGGCGGUUCGAUAAGUCGGAUGUGAAAUCUCCACGCUCAACGUGGAGGGGCCAUUCGAUACUGUCGUGACUCGAGUCCGGUAGGGGAGUGUGGAAUUCCCGGUGUAGCGGUGAAAUGCGCAGAUAUCAGGAAGAACACCAAUGGCGAAGGCAGCUCUCUGGGACGGUACUGACGCUGAGACGCGAAAGCGUGGGGAGCGAACAGG
rnacentral:rRNA from 1 species